GCGAGCUCCGCGAACUCCCAACGAACCUUCGGACUUCCGUCGAACUCUCGAACUUGCAACAAAUCCUUCGCGCUUGACUCCGACACUUUGUUUCGCUUUAUGUCUUCAUCGUUAUCAUAGUUAAUCCUGCACAAUUAAAACAAAACUUCAAUCGAGACAAUUAAUCCUAAGCAAUUAACCAAGUUGUCCGGCAUGUCAUUGGUCCCUCGACGCUUCGUCCGAUUCUUCGGCGCAUCGUCCUUUCCUGCAGCCUAUUGCCCAAUCGGCCAGUUGACUCCGCAACUCCGAUAUCCUUGGCACAAUACCCGCUCUUCUUGGCCCGAUGCCCGAGUCCACGGCCCGAAGCCUUCUGUCGAUACGUCGACCGAUCCACCGGCCCGACGUCCAAUCUUCUGACAUGUUCCUUCGGCACAACAUGAUUUUCCUGCUUUAAUUGUCUCAUCCUGAUCGAAG
rnacentral:lncRNA from 1 species